rnacentral:rRNA from 1 species
UACGUAGGGUGCGAGCGUUAAUCGGAAUUACUGGGCGUAAAGCGUGCGCAGGCGGUUUUGUAAGCCAGAUGUGAAAGCCCCGGGCUUAACCUGGGAACUGCGUUUGAAACUGGGAGACUUGAGUGUGGCAGAGGGGGGUGGAAUUCCACGUGUAGCAGUGAAAUGCGUAGAUAUCGGAAGGAACACCAGUGGCGAAAGCGGCUUCCUGGUCCAGCACCGACGUUCAGGCACGAAAGCGUGGGGAGCAAACAGG